rnacentral:lncRNA from 1 species
UUUAAAAACAAAAACAAAAACCCCAGCAGCAGCAGCAGCAUCCGUCCCUUCCAAGCAUCGUGCAGUCAAUCAGGAAGCUUCCCUUCCAUCCUGUGGGGUCUCUCCAUGUGCACGAGGAGCAGAGCUUCCCACUUCCUAGAGAGAGCGCAUCUCUUGGGAGUGACAAGGAGCGGAUCCAUUUCUAACUCUUGUAUCAUGUUAAGUGUUGUCUUAUUUAAUAUUUUUAUCUUGAUUUUCUAUCUAUAAAGAUUUUACCAUCAUGCUGAUGUCUCCAUAAUGUCCAAAAAAGUAGUUAGAAAUCCACCCUUUACAUCAGCUUCCAGUCGGCCACAUUCAGAGCAGGAGCACCGCCCACUGUCAGGGGCCUGCUUCCCCGCCAAGCCAGACAGUUUACUUAGAACCCUGAGUCAGUUUCACAGGCCGUGCUGCUGACAUCCUCCACACGGCUCCUCUGGAAGGAUGUCUUCCCAGGUAAGACGCAGGGCCUCCGUGUCCCCAUCCCCUCACGGGUAGUUCAUGAUUAGAACUCCUGUGGCGCUGCACGAAGAGUUCCCCGUGUGCCCUAGCUGGUGGCAGCUCCCCCACAGCUCCCCAAGGGCAGAGGUUGACACCCAGGCCACCGCAGCACUGGCGCUCGCUGUGCUGAAGGCACUUUGUCGAUCGCUUCUGCCUGGGUGGAGCUCUGGCCCUGACCUGAGGGAGCAGGCAGUGGCUAUGUUGCCAGCCAGGUGCACAGACAGCCAAGGGCGGCUAGGGACCCCACCCAGCCUGUGAGGACAGCAGCUUGUCCCACUCAUACCCCUCAUGCAGCUGUAGAAAAGUAGCCUGUGGCUGCCAGUGCUUUGGUUUUUCAAGGAACCAGAAGUUUGAGUUAUUUCUUGACAUUUUUCUUUUCUUUUCUUUUCUUUUUUUUUUUUUUGGUUUUUCGAGACAAGGUUUCUCUGUGUAGCCCUGGCUGUCGUGGAACUCACUUUGUAGACCAGGCUGUCCUGGAACUCAGAAAUCCACCUGCCUCUGCCUCCUGAGUGCUGGGAUUAAAGGCGUACGCCACCACCGCCAGGCUUCAUGACAUUUUUCUAAUCAGAAAUGUGGACAGUCAAUCCAGACAUGCCCACUGAACAGGCUGCCCAUCUCAGCCUCCGCUGGGGUCUGUAACCUGCACAUGAGUGAACCUGUCAGCCAGCCCUGGAAGGCAGCAUCAGUCUCCCAUAGAACGACCAAAGUGAGGUGACCUCAGUAUGCUGAGCCUGCCUCAUAGUCCCUCUUACAACAUGGCCAAUGCAUCCUGGAGACAGCAUCACCUCAACGUGAGGCUCACAGCUCGGAGGAAAGGCUCAGCGCUCCAGGGGCCUGCCCACUCAUCGAUACACACAAGCCUAAGUGCUGGAGGAUGUCCAGCAGGGCCUUUUAGAAAGGGGCCGGCCAGUGUGAGCUCAGGCAUCCUCUCUGACAAGCUUUUCUGCGUGCUCCAAGGAUGACUGCUCUUCCUGGCAGGCUCCCUGGAGCUGGUUCCAGCCUGAGCUGGUUCCCACCAUCCCCAGAGAGAGCAGGCCUCUGUUGGAAGCUUCCGGGAAGAGAACUGUUAGAGGUGGAGUGGUGCAGUCCCGUUAAGUCACGAAGAAGAAUGCUGUCCUUGAGAAAUCAAAGAACACGGGGCCAGUACAGCAUUUCCAGACGCUCUCAAGAACACCAGUCAGUCCCAUGUCCUCCUCAGGCUGAAGGCCCUGUGUGGAGGCCUGAGGAGACAGCAGGAGGGGCCCCACACAGUCCCUCCUGAGACCUGGCUGGGGUUAGAGCAUACUGUUCCUGUGGGCAAAUGCGUUUUGUCUCAAAGCUCGCCCUGGCCGUUUUUGGGUUUUUUGCACGUGGGUCUCAUCGCCUCGCAGGAGUGAGCUCUGCAUCCAAUCUGGCUGCUCUCUCCCCUCUCUGGGAUUCUGCCUUCCCACCUGUGUACCCCACUUUCUAAGAUGGAGAGGAUGAAGACACAAUUAAUGGAGCAGGCCCUGCCUCAAGCUCCGUUCCCGGAAGGCACUGUGGCCUCAGCACCACGGUCUUUACUUGCCAAAGACGAAGUCCAGUGUUGCGUGCACUCGGGACUCUUAACGGCACAGCGCAGGGGCUCUGCCCUGACCUCAGUGACUUCCAUCAUGGAAUGCAGCCUGAAAGCCGCGUGUUUUCAUCCUCCACAGCUUCGGUGGGCUCGCAGUGCAGUUUCCUUUCCUUCUUUGUCCUAGCUGGCUAUCACCCACGCUCUUACAAAGCAAAGUGCAGCAUAGAGAAAAGAGCAUUGCAUACCUGGUGUUAAGCCCCCUCGCUCCUCCUCCUCUGGUGGCUUCUCAGCAUCCUGAAGUUACUGUCCCUGCCUGUAAAAUCCUUCUGGAAUCUGUGCCCCACUGGUUAUGCAAUAAAUCGUCUCUUU